UGCCAGCCGCCGCGGUAAUACGGAGGGUGCAAGCGUUGCUCGGAAUUAUUGGGCGUAAAGGGUAGGUAGGUGGUCUUAUUUGUCUGGGGUGAAAGCCUCGAGCUUAACUCGAGAAGUGCCUCAGAAACGGUGAGACUAGAGUCCUGGAGAGGGUCGUGGAAUUCCCGGUGUAGCGGUGAAAUGCGUAGAGAUCGGGAGGAACACCAGAGGCGAAGGCGGCGACCUGGACAGGCACUGACACUCAACUACGAAAGCGUGGGUAGCAAACAGGAUUAGAUA
rnacentral:rRNA from 1 species